AUUGAACGCUGGCGGCAGGCUUAACACAUGCAAGUCGAGCGAGCGGCGGACGGGUGAGUAAUGUCUGGGAAACUGCCUGAUGGAGGGGGAUAACUACUGGAAACGGUAGCUAAUACCGCAUACCAUCAGAUGUGCCCAGAUGGGAUUAGCUAGUAGGUGGGGUAAUGGCUCACAUAGGCGACGAUCCAAAGCUGGUCUGAGAGGAUGACCAGCCACACUGGAACUGAAAAACGGUCCAGACGACUAGGGGAGGCAGCAGUGAGUAAUAUUGAACAAUGGGCGCAAGCCUGAUGCAGCCAUGCCGCGUGUGUGAAGAAGGUCUUCGGGUUGUAAAGCACUUUCAGCGAGGAGGCUUUACGCGCAGAAGAAGCACCGGCUAACUCCGUGCCAGCUGCCGCUGUAAUAC
rnacentral:rRNA from 1 species